CUAUUCCUGGAUUUUAAACUGCAUGCCAAACCGUCAGACGGAAGAUGCACAACACUGCCAGGUUCCAUCAAUACUUGCUGCCUCCAGCUAUUCAAAAGCUUCACGGAUAAAUGAAGCAGACAGACAAUCGUCGAUCCCCUAUGAAAGUACAUGUGUCCUUCGCUAAAUGAAUGGAGGCUAAUUAAACCCUCCGACUGGCUCCGAGAGAGAGAGAGAGACAGAGAGAGUAGAGAGAGAAAGAGAAACAGAGAUGUAGAGAAGGUGGGGGAGAAAAAAACGGGAAGUGGAGGGAAGGGCAGACAGCAGGGCAGGUAAGGUGAGGGACUGAAUGAAAGACAAAGGCGACAGGCAAUACUGUAGACAGCUAGACAGAAAAGGGGGCGAUGAGACAGCUGGGGGGAGGGCGAAUGAGUGAGAUAGUAAAGUGACGGAGAUCCAGACAGAGGACAGCGGGAGGUGGAGAGAAAAGGGCAUGCAAAGUAGUGGAUUAAACGUGGAAAGAUGAAGCAGGAGAAAGAGCCUCUGUGAAGUAAAAGUGUCGAAAAGAGUGUGUGUGCGUGUGUGGGAACAACUGAGAUAGCAGCAGAAAGAUUGAGAGGACAGAGGAACAGAAGUGGAGGGAAAGUAGCGAAAAGGUAUCAACUGUCACUACAGAGACAGAAGGUAAGAGAGCAAAUUCACUCCGUCCGCAAUCCCAGUGGCAACCUUGAGCGGAGGUCUUAGGUGACAGCUUUUCCCGCUUUCUGAUUUGCCAUCCGUGGCGCGGCUUUGAUUUAGGGCCUAUUAACUAUAAGAUUCCAUCCAUCCUGCCCCCCGGUGACAGCAGUUACAUUUGCUAAGACAAUAUGUUAGGAGGUGAGAUGAUGAGAGGCGCCUUGCGAACGUGCAGGGGGGGGAGACCGACCAUCUCCAUCUCCAUUAACGCACUCCAUUUUCUUGAUUGGCCUGUCACACGGACACACGUGACGCGCCAAACGAAGAAGGGCCGGCCAAGAGACAGCAGCGGCUUUUAUCGCUGAACAGAGUGCCAGGGGUCAAUCUUUUUCAACGCCAGGAUGGAUGGAUGGAAAAUGGCUCUCUUCUUCUUUUUCACCUCUGCGCACUCCUGCAUAAAUGCUGAAUCAAUCAUAGUCACCUGAGGAGGGUUUCAAUGAAAAAAGAAAAAAAAAAAAAA